GCGCCUGUAGCUCAGUUGGAUAGAGCGUUGGGUUGCGGACCCAAAGGUCCCGCGUUCAAGUCGCGGCAGGCGUG
rnacentral:tRNA from 1 species